rnacentral:rRNA from 1 species
UACGUAGGGUACAAGCGUUGUCCGGAAUUAUUGGGCGUAAAGAGCUCGUAGGUGGUUGGUCACGUCUGCUGUGGAAACGCAACGCUUAACGUUGCGCGUGCAUUGGGUACGGGCUGACUAGAGUGCAGUAGGGGAGUCUGGAAUUCCUGGUGUAGCGGUGAAAUGCGUAGAUAUCAGGAGGAACACCGGUGGCGAAGGCGGGACUCUGGGCUGUAACUGACGCUGAGGAGCGAAAGCAUGGGGAGCGAACAGG